GCUUACGGCCAUACCACCCUGAAUGCGCCCGAUCUUGUCAGAUCUCGGAAGCUAAGCCACGUCAGGCCUGGUUAGUACUUGGAUGGGUGACCGCCUGGGAAUACCAGGUGCUGUAAGCU
rfam:Larimichthys crocea isolate SSNF unplaced genomic scaffold scaffold205, whole genome shotgun sequence.